CCUACGGGAGGCAGCAGUGAGGAAUAUUGGUCAAUGGGCGCGAGCCUGAACCAGCCAAGUCGCGUGAGGGAAGACGGUCCUAUGGAUUGUAAACCUCUUUUGUCGGGGAGCAAAAGACGCCACGUGUGGCGUUCCGAGAGUACCCGAAGAAAAAGCAUCGGCUAACUCCGUGCCAGCAGCCGCGGUAAUACGGAGGAUGCGAGCGUUAUCCGGAUUUGUUGGGUUUAAAGGGUGCGCAGGCGGAAGAUCAAGUCAGCGGUAAAAUUGAGGGGCUCAACCUCUUCGAGCCGUUGAAACUGGUUUUCUUGAGUGAGCGAGAAGUAUGCGGAAUGCGUGGUGUAGCGGUGAAAUGCAUAGAUAUCACGCAGAACUCCGAUUGCGAAGGCAGCAUACCGGCGCUCAACUGACGCUCAUGCACGAAAGUGUGGGUAUCGAACAGGAUUAGAUACCCCUGUAGUC
rnacentral:rRNA from 1 species